ensembl:sense_intronic Gm15903 predicted gene 15903
AUCGUCCAAGCCAGGAAUCAGGCCUUCCCCAAGCUUGUGCUGCCCCUCUCCUCUCUCCUUCCAAUCUGGUCGUCAGAUCUGUCAUGUUUGCUUCCCAGUGUCUAAGCUCCACCGUCUCUGUUCUCAUCCCCUCAUUAACUGUCAGCAGCAAUUGUAUGGAUUCCUCUGAAGACUGUGAACUUGAUCCCAUCAUUGAAGGAGACAGAUUUAAAAAAAAAAAACUCUAAGAGGCCAUUUUUCCAUUAUAAAAAUCUCCCUUAACCAACCUGUGCUGGCAGGAGAGGUGGCUUAGCCGUUAAGGGCGUGUAUCUGAGUUUUACCUAAUCCUUUCCUUCCAUCUCCAACACCCCUCCCAAGAAAAGCCAUUUAGAAGACAAUGCAGACGAGUAAUAGAGGGUGGAUGUAGAUAUUUUAGAACAGCUGUGUUUCUUAGCUAUGAUAAUAGCGUAGCGGAUUUAGAUUUGUUCUCUGGAGAUACAUGUUAAAGUAUUCAGUUAUUGAGACAAGGUCUCACCCAUUGUGCUGGCCAGCCUGGAACUCUCAGUGUAGACCAGGCUGGCCUUAAACUCAGAGAUCUUCCUGAGUCUACCUCCUAAGUGCUGGAAUUAAAGGUCUGACCAUCACGGGAGGCAUAUGCUGAAGUGUUGUAUGUGUCUAGACGAUUUCCAAAUCUAUAAAAGUUUUCUUUUUACUUACACAACACAUUUUUAUCUACUUGGAGUGUGUAAAUUAUUUCAACUUCUCCAUGUUUGAAGCUUUUCUAAACAAGAAAUGGGCGAGAGGGUCUCUGUAGCAGCUGUGCAGGAGUUAGGGUCACAGGAGUAUUGCUUCAAUAUGAAACAUCUCAGAAUAGAUCUGCCGCCCUCCCCUGCCCGUGCGUGCUUCCUCGCUGCAAUACCUACUCCUGGCUUUGUGACUAGCCCUUAAAACGCUGUCUCCCCUGGAUGUCCAGCUGACAGAUGUUUCUUCCCCUUCUCUGUCAGUGGUUCUCAGCCUGUGAGUCAAGACCCCUUUGGAUUGCAUAUCAGAUAUUUACAUUACGAUUCAUAACAGCAAAAUUCCUGUUAGGAAGUAGCCAUGAAAGCCAUUUCAUGGUUGGGGAUCACGGAAACACGAGGGACUGUGUUAAAGUGGCAGCCUGAGGAAAGCUGAGAACCACUGAGCCACAUCAUUAGCUCAAGAGUUACUUCUUCCUGGCACCUCAUCUCCCGGCCACCUGAGACCCUGCCCCGUCCGGCCACCCUGCGCUGCUGCAUCUUAUCCCCCACCCCUGGGCCUCCGUCCAAAGCUUAUCUGGGGAUGCAUGUGAUCCAGUUCCCCUGCAGGCUCAGCCCUGUGGGGUCAGGGCCGGGUUCAUUCUAUGUAUGUCCUCUCGCAGCUAGCCCAACCCCUAACGCAUAUCAUCAUGCAGUUAGCAAAUAUUUGUGGGUCAAGUGGGUAUUUGUGGUAAGGCCCGCUAUGCUCUUUCUGAACAUUAAAUCUUUUUCCCCUGCCUCCCUUUGCUGACUAAACCUUAGUGCUGUCUCUCACCUGGUCAGCGCUGUUUUCCAAACCUCUCCGUUUUUGAGGCGGUUUUGGUCGGAGGUUGGGGAGUGUGUUUUGUUUUAUUGUUUUGCUGCAGUUGGGUUUAUGGUUUGUUUUAUUUUGUUUUGAGGCAGGGCUUCACAGUUUAGCCCUGGCUGGCCGGAAACUUGAUAUGUAGAUCAGACUAGCCUCAAACACAGAGAUCUGCCAGACUUUUUCUCUAGUCUUGGGGAUGAAACCCAGGGUCUCACUCAUACCAGCCAUUAAGCUACACUCCCAGCCCCAGGGGUGUCUUUUGAAAGUAUUGUUUCUCUUCAUCUCUACAUCCAGCAUCUGAACAGGAGACCAUCAUCCUUUUUCCCAUCCACCCAGAGGUUUCUUUCUUUGUUUUUGUUUUUCAAAACAGGAUUUCUCUGUAUCCCUGGCCAUGGAACUCACUACAUAGACCAGGCUGAUUUCGAACUCAGAGAUCACCUGCCUCUGCCUCUCAAUUGCUGGCAUUAAAGGUGUGAGCCACCUCUCCUCACUGAGUGUUUGGCUUUUGGUUUUGGGGGUUUGUUUUGUUUUGUUUUUAAGGCUUCCUUCAAUAAAAGGUUCUGCCAGUCAUGGCAGGAAGGAGUCCAGGAACUGCACCCCCUGCCCUGGGGGUUGGCUCAGUAUUACCAGGCUGCUUUUCCUGCCUGUUUUGAAAAUCUGCUGACAGUAUCCAUGGCAGUGUAACACACGCAGCAGUGUAGCGCCCCGCCCACGCUGACCUAUUAUCACCCGCUUCUUCCCACUCCCGCCCUGCACACCUUACAGACUCGUGCUGUCCGUUUCCCGACCCUGUGUCCUUGUCCUUGUACAUGUUGUUCUCUCUGGCUAGAAUUAGCACCUGCCUUGUCCAUCUGUCCUGCCUGGCCUCCAGCGCAGGGCUGCAGAGUCUCUCCUGGAGUCACUCUUGCUCCUCUUGAGGCCAAGCCGGUGAUUCAUUCCCCUGAGCUCUGGCAGUGUGUCCACUCUGGGAUCUGUGCUCAUUCUGGCUGUUUUCCCCCAGGAGAUGGAACUGACUUAGCAUCUGAUAGAACCUGAUACCAACAGAGCCUAGCAUACAAUGCUUAUUCUCAAUUCCAGUGUUUGAUAGAAAGUAGGGACCCUCCAAGCUGGAUGUGUGUCUGUCUGUCUGUGUCUCUGUAUGUUUAUGUGUAUGUGUGUAUAUGUAUGUGUUUCUGUGUGUCUGUGUCUCUGUGUUUACAUGCAUGUGUAUGUGUGUAUAUGUCUAUCUGUGUAUAUGUAUGUGUUUCUGUGUAUCUGUGUCUCUGUGUUUAUAUGCAUGUAUGUGUCUGUGUUUUGUGUGUGUGUGUCUCUGUGUGUAUGUGUGUCUGUGCCUGUUUAUACGGGUGUCUGUGUGUAUAUGUAUGUGUCUGUGUGUUUGUGUGCGUGUGUCUGUGUCUGCAUGUGCCUGUCAGUAAGAACCCAGGCCUUGCCUGGAUCCAGUCUCUCUGGCAGCUGUUGGCAUAGCUCUCUCCAUAUUUGGCUUAGACAGUGAGAGAGACUGGAUGACAUGUCAUCAAGUAUCCUGUGCCCAGGACUGGGCAUAUCAUAUCGGCUUUUGUCAGCUGAAACCUGACACUCAAACAAGAUUUCAGAGUUUGACCCUCAAAGCCAGGCUCGCAGGUUCGGCAAGAUGUAGGUUUGGGAGAUGGCCCUGAUUAGUAGAAACAUUUUUAAUGCUGUUUGUUCUUCGAAACUUCUGAGCCCAUUGUUUAGUCUCUCUGAGCUUGUCUGGGGUUGCAAGACCUACCUUGCUGCGGUUUUGAGGCUCUAAUGACAUGACCUAGGCAAAUGACCUCAAGCAGCCCAUGGGAAGAAAUGUGUCUUUAAUAACCGUUGGUAUCCUUGAGCCCUAAGGAAGAAAAGUGUCACUGUCUGCUCUAUACUUAGUCCACAAAUAAUCCUUUCAGAGUCACAAAUGCAUUCAGUGCAAUAAAGAUUAGUCAUGUUUU